AGUCGACGGAGUUAGCAAGUAGUACCGGCUAACUUAAACUUAUUGGUGGGUCCUACAUGGGGGUUGGUUGGUGACCUGUCGCUCUCAACUUGUGGUUUUUGUAUUUGGAAAACGUUGGGUUGGAAUCUAAUCAUUCAUUUAUCAGUUAGGUAGCGACCGUGGAAAGCCAAUCGUAGCAAUAUAGGCCUGGGCAUUUUUCAUUUGAUGGUUGGACCUUGAAAUUGUUCAUUCAAUGGGCCUUUAUGAUAGCUCCAAUGCAAUCUUCCGUAAAAAUUUGUAAGGUGUAGAAUAGAAAAGGAACCAGUUUUGAAGAUUUUCUCUUGCUUUUCCGGUUCCGGUUCUGUGAGAAACAGUGGCGUUUCUUUUUAGUUAGAGAUGAAGAAGUCGCCAUUGCCAGUGCAAAACAUGUACAGCAGUGUGAAGAAGAUAACCGAAAAGGAAGCGUUUGUGAGGCUUUUGAGAUGGCAUUUUGCUUAUUCUGAUUCUAAAGUCAAGCAAUUGAGACUUUGUCAGGUACUCUAAAUAACACUAUUUCAGAGAGCUGGAAUGAAUUACUAAUACUUUUUUUUUUUUUUUUGAUUGAUAACUGUUUGUGAAAGGGAGAAAUUGCUUUUAAUGGAUGCCAAUUGGAGUAGGGAUGAUCAUUUGUUAUCAGAUUGCUGCAGUUGGAAAAACCUGGGAGUGUGCUUGGUUUUAGCAGGGUACUAUUGCAGAAUAGCUGUUGGUCGUCCACUGCAAAUUUAAGGUACUUCUCGUCCCGAAUUUCUUCUUUGAUGUUUUGAAUGGUUGGGUUCUCGGGAAGAACCAGAGGGUACUUGUAUAAAUGAUAGGUAAUCCAGACCAACAUUUUGAAUAGAGAAAUUUCAGAUAUUGAGCUGCAGAGAAAAACAUCUGUUCAACUCCUAUAUCUUCUUUGAUUUUAAAUUGUGUCAUCAUGAACUGAGGAUGAUAUAGUUUGCAAUGUACUCUGAAUGUUUAUUUUGGUCAUAGUAGAAAAUACGUGAAUUGCUUCUGUGCAAAA